rnacentral:rRNA from 1 species
GAUGAACGCUGGCGGCGUGCCUAAUACAUGCAAGUCGAGCGAACGGACGAGAAGCUUGCUUCCCUGAUGUUAGCGGCGGACGGGUGAGUAACACGUGGAUAACCUACCUAUAAGACUGGGAUAACUUCGGGAAACCGGAGCUAAUAUCGGAUAAUAUUUUGAACCUCAUGGUUCAAGAGUGAAAGACGGUCUUGCUGUCACUUAUAGAUUGAUCCGGGCUGCAUUAGCUAGUUGGUAAGGUAACGGCUUACCAAGGCAACGAUGCAUAGCCGACCUGAGAGGGGGAUCGCCCCAAUGGGACUUGGACACCGGCCCAGACUCCUACGGGGGGCAGCAGGAGGGAUUCUUCCGCAAGGAGCGAAGGCCGGACGGAGAAAGGCCGCGUGAGUAAUGAAGGUCUUCGGAUCGUAAAACUCUGUUAUUAGGGAAGAACAUAUGUGUAAGUAACUGUGCACAGCUUGACGGUACCGAAUCAGAAAGCCACGGCUAACUACGUG